GUUAAGCGACUAAGCGUACACGGUGGAUGCCCUGGCAGUCAGAGGCGAUGAAGGACGUGCUAAUCUGCGAUAAGCGUCGGUGAGGUGAUAUGAACCGUUAUAACCGGCGAUUUCCGAAUGGGGAAACCCAGUGUGUUUCGACACACUAUCAUUAACUGAAUCCAUAGGUUAAUGAGGCGAACCGGGGGAACUGAAACAUCUAAGUACCCCGAGGAAAAGAAAUCAACCGAGAUUCCCCCAGUAGCGGCGAGCGAACGGGGAGGAGCCCAGAGCCUGAAUCAGUGUGUGUGUUAGUGGAAGCGUCUGGAAAGGCGCGCGAUACAGGGUGACAGCCCCGUACACAAAAAUGCACAUAUUGUGAGCUCGAUGAGUAGGGCGGGACACGUGGUAUCCUGUCUGAAUAUGGGGGGACCAUCCUCCAAGGCUAAAUACUCCUGACUGACCGAUAGUGAACCAGUACCGUGAGGGAAAGGCGAAAAGAACCCCGGCGAGGGGAGUGAAAAAGAACCUGAAACCGUGUACGUACAAGCAGUGGGAGCCUCUUAAUGGGGUGACUGCGUACCUUUUGUAUAAUGGGUCAGCGACUUAUAUUCUGUAGCAAGGUUAACCGAAUAGGGGAGCCGAAGGGAAACCGAGUCUUAACUGGGCGUUAAGUUGCAGGGUAUAGACCCGAAACCCGGUGAUCUAGCCAUGGGCAGGUUGAAGGUUGGGUAACACUAACUGGAGGACCGAACCGACUAAUGUUGAAAAAUUAGCGGAUGACUUGUGGCUGGGGGUGAAAGGCCAAUCAAACCGGGAGAUAGCUGGUUCUCCCCGAAAGCUAUUUAGGUAGCGCCUCGUGAAUUCAUCUCCGGGGGUAGAGCACUGUUUCGGCAAGGGGGUCAUCCCGACUUACCAACCCGAUGCAAACUGCGAAUACCGGAGAAUGUUAUCACGGGAGACACACGGCGGGUGCUAACGUCCGUCGUGAAGAGGGAAACAACCCAGACCGCCAGCUAAGGUCCCAAAGUCAUGGUUAAGUGGGAAACGAUGUGGGAAGGCCCAGACAGCCAGGAUGUUGGCUUAGAAGCAGCCAUCAUUUAAAGAAAGCGUAAUAGCUCACUGGUCGAGUCGGCCUGCGCGGAAGAUGUAACGGGGCUAAACCAUGCACCGAAGCUGCGGCAGCGACGCUUAUGCGUUGUUGGGUAGGGGAGCGUUCUGUAAGCCUGCGAAGGUGUGCUGUGAGGCAUGCUGGAGGUAUCAGAAGUGCGAAUGCUGACAUAAGUAACGAUAAAGCGGGUGAAAAGCCCGCUCGCCGGAAGACCAAGGGUUCCUGUCCAACGUUAAUCGGGGCAGGGUGAGUCGACCCCUAAGGCGAGGCCGAAAGGCGUAGUCGAUGGGAAACAGGUUAAUAUUCCUGUACUUGGUGUUACUGCGAAGGGGGGACGGAGAAGGCUAUGUUGGCCGGGCGACGGUUGUCCCGGUUUAAGCGUGUAGGCUGGU
rnacentral:rRNA from 1 species